rnacentral:rRNA from 1 species
AGAAUCAACGCUGGCGGCGUGCCUAACACAUGCAAGUCGCACGAGAAAGGGUAGCAAUACCUGAGUACAGUGGCGCACGGGUGAGUAACACGUGAAUAAUCUACCUCCGAGUGGGGAAUAACUGAGAGAAAUCUUAGCUAAUACCGCAUAAUACCCACGGGUCAAAGCAGCAAUGCGCUUGGAGAGGAGUUCGCGGCAGAUUAGUUAGUUGGCGGGGUAAUGGCCCACCAAGACGAUGAUCUGUAUCCGGCCUGAGAGGGCGCACGGACACACUGGAACUGAAACACGGUCCAGACUCCUACGGGAGGCAGCAGUGGGGAAUUUUUGCGCAAUGGGGGAAACCCUGACGCAGCAACGCCGCGUGGAGGAUGAAGCCCCUUGGGGUGUAAAACUCCUUUCGAUCGGGAAGAUAAGUGACGGUACCGAUAUAAGAACGCCCGGACUAACUCGUGCCAGCAGCCGAC